ACCUGUAUUUCCUAUGUCUUAAACUACCUUCUUAGACCAAACUUCCUGCUGGAAAUGAUUAGUAACAUUAACAACUCUUGCUAAGAGAGAUCAGCACUAUUCAUCUGUGUGGAGCUACUGGAACUUUAAUAGGCUAUUCGGAAGCCUCUGACUACAGGUUGAACCUAUCUAGUCCAGCACCCUUGGGAUCUGAUCAGUGCUGAACCAGAGAAUUUGCCAAACAACGGGAGUUACUAAAGCUACAGUUGAGCAUUCUUUUCCUCAUUGAAUGGAAUUUUAUUUUCUAAAAGAAGUUGCCUUCCACCUGAUCAUGAGCAUAUCAUGAAGGACUGGAAGUAACCACACAAGAAGACCCCAAAGAGUUGUGCAAUACUAUAAGAAGAAACCAAGAAGAAUGUAGAUGGAGUGCUUCAUAAAGGCUUGAGUAGCCAACUUUAAUUUCUGUAAUGAUUUUGAAACAUGAGUUAAAUCUAAUAAAACUGUUCUGGAACAUUUUUCCGGUUUUACUAUGGUGCCAUACAGCCCACCUUCACCCUCACAGUCUCAGCCCUCAUUCCCGUACCCCCUCUCAUAUAUUCAAGCACACCAAUUUCAAUUCCUGGGAAAACACUGUCCCCUGGCUGAAGACAGCUCCCAGCAAGCAUCAGUGCAAAAGAAAAGGUGGCAAACCUCAUCUAUUGACAUCUCAACCUGGGACAAUUCUUCAAA